AUAUAUAUAUCCCAGCAGGAGGAGGGCUCCUAUUGGAAGACCUCGAAGAAGCAGUCUGGCUCGUGACCAAUAGAGACGGCCGGUAGGAGUCACGUAAGUAGCAUGGUGGCGUGCUCUGAUUGCUAUGAUGAUGCCGCCGGCACGGUAAUAAUCCUACCCCCCAGCUGUAAAAUGGGAAAAUGUCUUGCAUCUCAUUUUGACAUGAGUGCCACAUGCCCCUGCUGCCUGUGGUGAGUGGCAGGCUGCUACACACACUUGCAUGUUUGUGAGUAGAGAUUAGCUGCUGGAUGCUGCGUGAUAAGAUGGUGCAUCUGCUGGGCGGCUUUCAGUUCCAUUCAUCUUGCGGCGCUGCCUAGUUCUUUUGUCUCUUUGUUUUUUUUCCACCCCACCUUCUGUUAGCCUAAUUUGUGCUUCUGAGUAAUUUGGUAGAAGCUUUUUUUUUUUUUUUUGAUGGGGGACACAUUAGCAUUUGAGAGGUCUUGCCAAAAGUGCUUUACAGAUUUUAUUUUAAACUAAGAGAUCUUAGAAAGAUCUGGCACAAAUGGGUAGGACUUGAGGCAACAAAACUGUUGAGAACAUUGUUUGUCAUUUGUGUCAUGUAAAACGUAUCUGGCACAGUUUAAUUACUAAACGACUGCUAUUGGGCUUUGCAUCAUGGGACCGUGCUUAUGACAGAUGACUGCUGUCUGCCCCCCCCACCCAGGCCUUAUAAAAUUCUACUCAUGCACUGUUCAGUGGAAUGGGAUUCCUUGCUGGGAAAAUUUCCACAUACAGCAUGGAGUUUAGAAAACCUGCUGACAGUAGCUAGUGACACGGAUGUGCUUAGCAGCAGCUGGGAAUGAAUUUACGGAAGAACUUCCUGAACUCCGUGUUGAAAACCGUGUAAAUGACGGGGUUGACGGCGCUGUUGACGUAGCCCAGCCAGGUGAC